rnacentral:rRNA from 1 species
GCCAGACUCCUACGGGAGGCAGCAGUGGGGGAUAUUGCACAAUGGGGGAAACCCUGAUGCAGCGACGCCGCGUGGGUGAAGAAGUAUUUCGGUAUGUAAAGCCCUAUCAGCAGGGAAGAAAGAAGACGGUACCUGACUAAGAAGCCCCGGCUAACUACGUGCCAGCAGCCGCGGUAAUACGUAGGGGGCAAGCGUUAUCCGGAUUUACUGGGUGUAAAGGGAGCGUAGACGGCGAUGCAAGCCAGAUGUGAAAGCCCGGGGCUCAACCCCGGGACUGCAUUUGGAACUGUGUGGCUGGAGUGUCGGAGAGGCAGGCGGAAUUCCUAGUGUAGCGGUGAAAUGCGUAGAUAUUAGGAGGAACACCAGUGGCGAAGGCGGCCUGCUGGACGAUGACUGACGUUGAGGCUCGAAAGCGUGGGGAGCAAACAGGAUUAGAUACCCUAGUAC